rnacentral:rRNA from 1 species
GACGAACGCUGGCGGCGUGCUUAACACAUGCAAGUCGAACGGAAAGGCCCUGCUUUUGUGGGGUGCUCGAGUGGCGAACGGGUGAGUAACACGUGAGUAACCUGCCCUUGACUUUGGGAUAACUUCAGGAAACUGGGGCUAAUACCGGAUAGGAUCUCCUGCUGCAUGGUGGGGGUUGGAAAGUUUCGGCGGUUGGGGAUGGACUCGCGGCUUAUCAGCUUGUUGGUGGGGUAGUGGCUUACCAAGGCUUUGACGGGUAGCCGGCCUGAGAGGGUGACCGGCCACAAUGGGACUGAGAUACGGCCCAGACUCCUACGGGAGGCAGCAGUGGGGAAUAUUGCACAAUGGGCGGAAGCCUGAUGCAGCAACGCCGCGUGCGGGAUGACGGCCUUCGGGCUGUAAACCGCUUUAGCCUGUGACGAAGCGUGAGUGACGGUAAUGGGUAAAGAAGCACCGGCUAACUACGUG